rnacentral:rRNA from 1 species
UACAGAGACUGCGAGCGUUAUUCGGAUUCACUGGGCGUAAAGGGUGCGCAGGCGGCCAAGUGUGUGAGGUGUGAAAGCCCGGGGCUUAACCCCGGAAUUGCACCUCAAACUACAUGGCUAGAGCAUUGGAGAGGGUAGCAGAAUUCACGGUGUAGCAGUGAAAUGCGUAGAUAUCGUGAGGAAUACCAGAGGCGAAGGCGGCUACCUGGACAAUUGCUGACGCUCCGGCACGAAAGCGUGGGGAGCAAAAGGG